GAUGAACGCUGGCGGCGUGCUUAACACAUGCAAGUCGAACGAAACACCUUAUUUGAUUUUCUUCGGAACUGAAGAUUUGGUGAUUGAGUGGCGGACGGGUGAGUAACGCGUGGGUAACCUACCCUGUACAGGGGGAUAACAGUCAGAAAUGACUGCUAAUACCGCAUAAGACCACAGCACCGCAUGGUGCAGGGGUAAAAACUCCGGUGGUACAGGAUGGACCCGCGUCUGAUUAGCUGGUUGGUGAGGUAACGGCUCACCAAGGCGACGAUCAGUAGCCGGCUUGAGAGAGUGAACGGCCACAUUGGGACUGAGACACGGCCCAAACUCAUACGGGAGGCAGCAGUGGGGAAUAUUGCACAAUGGGGGAAACCCUGAUGCAGCGACGCCGCGUGAGUGAAGAAGUAUCUCGGUAUGUAAAGCUCUAUCAGCAGGGAAGAAAAUGACGGUACCUGACUAAGAAGCCCCGGCUAACUACGUGCCAGCAGCCGCGGUAAUACGUAGGGGGCAAGCGUUAUCCGGAAUUACUGGGUGUAAAGGGUGCGUAGGUGGUAUGGCAAGUCAGAAGUGAAAACCCAGGGCUUAACUCUGGGACUGCUUUUGAAACUGUCAGACUGGAGUGCAGGAGAGGUAAGCGGAAUUCCUAGUGUAGCGGUGAAAUGCGUAGAUAUUAGGAGGAACAUCAGUGGCGAAGGCGGCUUACUGGACUGAAACUGACACUGAGGCACGAAAGCGUGGGGAGCAAACAGGAUUAGAUACCCUGGUAGUCCACGCCGUAAACGA
rnacentral:rRNA from 1 species